AGGCGCGAGAAUCGAGGCGUCAGGCGCUACUCGAGCGCGCCGGCGUCAUCCCCGCUGGACGCGCGGAAACCGAAAUUUGAAGAUCCCGGAAAAUCCGCCGCUGUCAGUUGACCGAUCGCGUCAAAAGAUGCCGCAGAAGCACUCGGCUUCCGACAGUCUGUUUUGCGAGUACUUCCACUCGGAUCGUUGGUCAGAAAGGAUAAAAUGGAUCGAGGCAAGCAACGCCCAAG
rnacentral:lncRNA from 1 species